AUUGAACGCUGGCGGCAGGCCUAACACAUGCAAGUCGAGCGGAUGAAGGGAGCUUGCUCCUGGAUUCAGCGGCGGACGGGUGAGUAAUGCCUAGGAAUCUGCCUGGUAGUGGGGGAUAACGUCCGGAAACGGGCGCUAAUACCGCAUACGUCCUGAGGGAGAAAGUGGGGGAUCUUCAGACCUCACGCUAUCAGAUGAGCCUAGGUCGGAUUAGCUAGUUGGUGGGGUAAAGGCCUACCAAGGCGACGAUCCGUAACUGGUCUGAGAGGAUGAUCAGUCACACUGGAACUGAGACACGGUCCAGACUCCUACGGGAGGCAGCAGUGGGGAAUAUUGGACAAUGGGCGAAAGCCUGAUCCAGCCAUGCCGCGUGUGUGAAGAAGGUCUUCGGAUUGUAAAGCACUUUAAGUUGGGAGGAAGGGCAGUAAGUUAAUACCUUGCUGUUUUGACGUUACCAACAGAAUAAGCACCGACUAACUUCGUG
rnacentral:rRNA from 1 species